rnacentral:sRNA from 1 species
UACUAUAUUGAGAUGGAGUUACCAGGGCUGAAGUAGAAAAGUCAGAGCAAAACCACGCCUGUGUCUUCCUCCUGCCUCAGGGACGAACACCUUCCUUCCAGGUCCGUGGCAAAUAUCUCCAAAAGCCCUGCCGCCUGCCAACACCCCUUCAAGUUCCCAGUUCCACGGAGGCGGAAGCAAAGCCCCCGGAAAGGCCGGCUCAGCAGACCCUGGGUUCCACCAUUGACAAAGCUACCGGGAUCCUGUUAUAUGGCUUGGCCUCCCGACUCAGGGAUACCCGGCGUCUCUCCUUCCUUGUAAGCUACAUAGCCAGUAAGAAGAUCCACACUGAGCCCCAGCUAAGCGCUGCCCUUGAGUAUGUGCGGAGUCACCCCUUGGACCCCAUCGACACUGUGGACUUCGAGCGGGAAUGUGGCGUGGGUGUCAUUGUGACCCCA